UAGAUACCCUGGUAGUCCACGCCGUAAACGAUGAACACUAGGUGUCGGGAGGAAUUUCGGUGCCGGCGCAAACGCAAUAAGUGUUCCGCCUGGGGAGUACGUUCGCAAGAAUAAAACUCAAAGGAAUUGACGGGGACCCGCACAAGUAGCGGAGCAUGUGGUUUAAUUCGAAGCAACGCGAAGAACCUUACCUAAGCUUGACAUGGGGAUGAAAAGCAAUGUAAAGUUGUAAUGAUACUUUCGGGUAUAC
rnacentral:rRNA from 1 species